rfam:Schistosoma mattheei strain Denwood, Zambia genome assembly, scaffold: SMTD_scaffold0004604
UUCCAAAUGAUGAGUCCUAAAUAGGAAUAAACGCACGUCUUGGAU